GCAGCCGCCGCGGUAAUACGUAGGGUGCAAGCGUUAAUCGGAAUUAUUGGGCGUAAAGCGAGCGCAGACGGUUACUUAAGCCAGAUGUGAAAUCCCCAAGCUUAACUUGGGACGUGCAUUUGAAACUGGGUGGCUAGAGUGUGUCAGAGGGAGGUAGAAUUCCACAUGUAGCGGUGGAAUGCGUAGAGAUGUGGAGGAAUACCGAUGGCGAAGGCAGCCUCCUGGGAUAACACUGACGUUGAGGCUCGAAAGCGUGGGGAGCAAACAGGAUUAGAUACCCCUGUAGUCCCUGUCUCUUAUAC
rnacentral:rRNA from 1 species